GACGAACGCUGGCGGCGUGCCUAAUACAUGCAAGUAGAACGCUGAAGAGAGGAGCUUGCUCUUCUUGGAUGAGUUGCGAACGGGUGAGUAACGCGUAGGUAACCUGCCUUGUAGCGGGGGAUAACUAUUGGAAACGAUAGCUAAUACCGCAUAACAAUGGAUGACACAUGUCAUUUAUUUGAAAGGGGCAAUUGCUCCACUACAAGAUGGACCUGCGUUGUAUUAGCUAGUAGGUGAGGUAAUGGCUCACCUAGGCGACGAUACAUAGCCGACCUGAGAGGGCGAUCGGCCACACUGGGACUGAGACACGGCCCAGACUCCUACGGGAGGCAGCAGUAGGGAAUCUUCGGCAAUGGGGGCAACCCUGACCGAGCAACGCCGCGUGAGUGAAGAAGGUUUUCGGAUCGUAAAGCUCUGUUGUAAGUCAAGAACGGGUGUGAGAGUGGAAAGUUCACACUGUGACGGUAGCUUACCAGAAAGGGACGGCUAACUACGUG
rnacentral:rRNA from 1 species